ACUUGAGAAUCACUGGAGACUUCCUGGAGGUGGCAAUCACUGACUUGAAUCUUGAACCAUGUGUAAGAGUUGGGCAGGUGAAGAAUGACACCAGACUCUUUCCUGCUUUGGCGUAUGCCCUGAGUGCUUGGAAAUCCCUAAAUGGACCAGAGCAAGGACACUCCGUAGCGGCUGAACACGAAGACGGGACUCCACUGGGAUGACCUUUGAUUCUUGGCAGAGGAUAGCGAUUUCA